AUUAUAUUUUGUUCUUUUUCUUUCAAUUUUUUUAUUUUAGUUUUUACAAUUAAAUAAUUAAUUUUUUUUCCCGAAUGGUUUACUAUUUAUAAUUAAGGAAUAAUUUUUAGUACCUUUUGUAUCAGGGUAAUUUUAAUAAAUAAUUUAUUCAUUAGUUUCCCGAAGAUGAGUGAUUUAUUUUUUUUUUUUUUUUUUUGUUUCAUAAAAAUUAUAAAUUAUUAAAUGGUAACUAUAAGUUAUUCGUCCUCAUUUAUAUCUGGUUUCUAAGGAUUAAAUUUAAUUUUAAUUGUUUUUUUUUCAAUUUAUUUUAUGGGGGAUAAGUUCUAUAAAUUUUUAAAAUUUCUUAUUUAUCUUUCUUUUAUUAGUUAUUAUAUUUUUCAUUAAGUUUUUUAUAAAUUGUGGUUUUUAAUUAUUAUUUUUUUAUAUUUAUUUUUUUACUUAGAUUAUUUAAUUAAUUUUUAUUUAUUUUUAAUAAUGAUUUAAUUAGUAUAAUUUAAACUUAAUUUUUAAUGAACUCGACAAAUUUUUUCUAUAACUGUUUAUCAAAAACAUUUUUUUUAGGUUAUUUUAUUAAAAGUAGGUUCUGCUCAAUGAUUAAUUUUAAAUAGCUGCAGUAUAUUGACUGUACAAAGGUAGCAUAAUAAUUAGUCUUUUAAUUGGGGACUAGAAUGAAUGAAUUAAUAAUAGAAUAUUUUUAUUAUUUUUAUUUUUAGAAUUUUAUUUUUAGGUAAAAAAGCUUAAUUGAUUUUUAGGGACGAGAAGACCCUAUAGAACUUUAUAUUUAAUAAUAUAUUUUAUUAUUUAGUUUUUUUUUUUUAUUUUAUAUUUAUUAUUAUUUUGUUGGGGUGAUAGAUAAAUUAAACUUUAUUUUUUAAAAUCAUAUAAUUUAUGAUUUUUUUUUGAUCCAUUAUUAAUGAUUAUAAGUAAAAGUUACCUUAGGGAUAACAGCGUGAUUUUUAUGGGGAGUUCAUAUUUAUAUAAAAGUUUGCGACCUCGAUGUUGAAUUAAGAUAAUUUUAGGGGGCAAUUUUUCUAAUAAUGAGUCUGUUCGACUUUUAGUAUCUUACAUGAUUUGAGUUCAAACCGGUGUAAGCCAGGUUGGUUUCUAUCUUAAAAUUAUUAUACCUUUUUAGUACGAAAGGACCAUUAGGUACAAUUUUUUAUUGUAAUUUUUGAUUAUUUU
rnacentral:rRNA from 1 species